rnacentral:rRNA from 1 species
ACUUCGCAAUACGCGAAAGCUUGACGGGGCUAUCCCGAGUGCCAUCUGCUGAGGAUGGCUUUUACCUAGUAUAGAUAGCUGGGGGAAUAAGGAGAGGGCAAGUCUGGUGUCAGCCGCCGCGGUAAUACCAGCUCUCCGAGUKGUGGGGAUGUUUAUUGGGCCUAAAGCAUCCGUAGCCGGCUGGKCAAGUCCCCUGUUAAAUCCAGCGACUAAUCGUUGGUCUGCGGGGGAUACUGUUCGGCUAGGGGGCGGGAGAGGCCGUCGGUAUUCUUGGGGUAGGGGUGAAAUCCUAUAAUCCCAGGAGGACCACCAGUGGCGAAGGCUGUCGGCUAGAACGCGCCCGACGGUGAGGGAUGAAAGCUGGGGGAGCGAACCGGAUUAGAUACCCGGGUAGUCCCAGCUGUAAACGAUGCAGGCUAGGUGUUAGGGCGGCUACGUGCCGCUCUAGUGCCGCAGGGAAGCUGUUAAGCCUGCCGCCUGGGGAGUACGGCCGCAAGGCUGAAACUUAA